AGAGUUUGAUCAUGGCUCAGGACGAACGCUGGCGGCGUGCUUAACACAUGCAAGUCGAACGGGAGUAUUGAAGAAGCUUGCUUUAGAGAUACUUUAGUGGCGGACGGGUGAGUAACGCGUGAGGAGCUGUCCUAUGCAGGGGGACAACAGCUGGAAACGGCUGCUAAUACCCCAUAAGCCGAGAGGUAAAAGGAUCAAUCCGGCAGAGGAGGUACUCGCGUCCUAUCAGCUAGUAGGUGAGGUAACGGCUCACCUAGGCGAAGACGGGUAGCCGGCCUGAGAGGGCGAACGGCCACACUGGAACUGAGAUACGGUCCAGACUCCUACGGGAGGCAGCAGUGGGGAAUAUUGGGCAAUGGGGGAAACCCUGACCCAGCGACGCCGCGUGGGUGAAGAAAUCCUUCGGGAUGUAAAGCCCUGUUGUAUGGGAAGAGCGGAAGACGGUACCAUACGAGGAAGCCCCGGCAAACUACGUGCCAGCAGCCGCGGUAAUACGUAGGGGGCAAGCGUUGUCCGGAUUUAUUGGGUUUAAAGGGUGCGCAGGCGGGGGAUUAGGUCGGCGGUGAAAUAUCAGGGCUCAACCUUGAGAGUGCCGUCGAAACCGGUUUUCUUGAGUGCGGAUGAAGUAGGCGGAAUUUGUGGUGUAGCGGUGAAAUGCGUAGAUAUCACAAAGAACACCGAUUGCGGAGGCAGCUUACUAAACCGCAACUGACGCUCAUGCACGAAGGCGUGGGGAUCAAACAGGAUUAGAUACCCUGGUAGUCCACGCAGUAAACGAUGAUUACUAGCUGUUUGCGAUACAAUGUAAGCGGCUGAGCGAAAGCGUUAAGUAAUCCACCUGGGGAGUACGUUCGCAAGAAUGAAACUCAAAGGAAUUGACGGGGGCCCGCACAAGCGGAGGAACAUGUGGUUUAAUUCGAUGAUACGCGAGGAACCUUACCCGGGCUUGAAAUGCAUCUGACCGGGCCGGAAACGGUCUUUCCCAGCGAUGGGCAGAUGUGUAGGUGCUGCAUGGUUGUCGUCAGCUCGUGUCGUGAGAUGUUGGGUUAAGUCCCGCAACGAGCGCAACCCUCAUCCUGUGUUGCUACCGGGUCAAGCCGGGCACUCUCGGGAAACUGCCCGUGCAAGCGGGAGGAAGGUGGGGAUGACGUCAAGUCAGCAUGGCCCUUACGACCUGGGCUACAAACAUGCUACAAUGGCGCGUACAGAGGGCAGCGAUACCGCGAGGUGGAGCCAAUCCCAAAAAGCGCGUCCCAGUUCGGAUCGGAGUCUGCAACUCGACUCCGUGAAGUCGGAAUCGCUAGUAACCGCAGGUCAGCGAUACUGCGGUGAAUACGUUCCCGGGCCUUGUACACACCGCCCGUCACGUCACCUGAGUCUGUUGCACCCGAAGCGCCUGGCCCAACCGCAAGGGGGGAGGGUGUGAAGGUGUGGCCGGUAAGGGGGACGAAGUCGUAACAAGGUAACCGUA
rnacentral:rRNA from 1 species